UACGUAGGCAGCAAGCGUUGUUCGGAGUUACUGGGCGUAAAGGGCGCGUAGGCGGCGCACCAAGUCAGGCGUGAAAGCCCUGGGCUCAACCCGGGAAUUGCGCUUGAGACUGGUGUGCUUGAGUACGGGAGAGGAUAGUGGAAUUCCCAGUGUAGAGGUGAAAUUCGUAGAUAUUGGGAAGAACACCGGUGGCGAAGGCGGCUAUCUGGACCGUAACUGACGCUGAGGCGCGAAAGCGUGGGGAGCAAACAGG
rnacentral:rRNA from 1 species